GACGAAUGCUGGCUGCGUGCUUAACACAUGCAAGUCGAACGGUGAAGGAGGGCUUGCCCUCCGGAUCAGUGGCGAACGGGUGAGUAACACGUGGGCAACCUGCCCCUCACUCUGGGAUAACGCCGGGAAACCGGCGCUAAUACCGGAUACGACCAGGCGCGACAUCUCGCCUGGUGGAAAGAAUUUCGGUGAGGGAUGGGCCCGCGGCCUAUCAGCUAGUUGGUGGGGUAACGGCCCACCAAGGCGACGACGGGUAGCCGGCCUGAGAGGGCGACCGGCCACACUGGGCCUGAGACACGGACCAGACUCCUACGGAAGGCAUCAGUGGGGAAUAUUGCGCAAUGGGCGAAGGCCGGACGCAGCGACGCAGCGUGAGGGACGAAGGCCUUCGGGUUGUAAACCUCUUUCAGCGGGGACGAAGCGAAAGUGACGGUACCUGCAGAAGAAGCGCCGGCUAACUACGUGCCAGCAGCCGCCGUAACAC
rnacentral:rRNA from 1 species